UACUGUCCGCAGAUGUUGUACAAAUCAGCCUUGGAUCUUACCAGUCGCAACUGAUAUAAAGCUUGUCUCCAUUUAGCAAUAAAAAAUAUGUUGUUAUUCGUCUGUUUUUUAAUUUCUUUUCUCAAUUUCGGCAAUUGUGAAGUCAAAGAGAGCUAUUCUUGUCCAACAGGGAAAAACAAGCAAUUCAUCAAAGUAUCUCAAGAUGGCUUGGCAGAAGUGAAUCCUUUCGAAAAAACUACAGUGACCUCGCGAAUAUCAUGUUCUUUCGACUGUUCUCACAAUAUUUUAUGUUGGUCGUUUGUUUUCUUGAAACAAAAGACGAUUGAGAACUGUUUAUUGAGCACAGAUCCAAAUGGAGGGUCUAGCACCGAAGAUAGCGAGACGUUCAAAAUCACAGUGAAAUAUCCACGCUACGAUCAGACGACGACUAACUGCCAGAGAGGUGGAAAAACUGUGAUAUGUUCUGAAGAGCACGAUGUAUGUGAAUGUCCACCGUGGGCUGAAGGAAACAAUUGCGAGAACCUAAAUAUGGCCUACAAUCUUGACCUACUUCCCUGGAAGAAAGGUGAUGGAUAUAACUUAAAAACUGUUGAUAUUUCCUUUACCGAGACGUGGUGUACUAACAGCUUUGAUCAAAUUUACCAUCUUCAAAAUGGUAAAUGGGAACAAGUAUUUGGAUUACUCCAAAAAGUAUCUGUCGGAGAAAAUGGAUUUUGGGGGACAAAUUCAAUCCAGCAUAUUGUCGCAAGACUCGGGAUAACGGCGUCAGAACCCAAAGGAACACAAUGGUACCAUGACACAAGCGGUCUACUUAGUCAAGUUACUUCUGGCCGUCCAGGUAUACUUUGGGGAGUCAAUGUGUAUAAUCAACUCUAUUAUAAGCAAAAAAGUGGUACUUGGUCACUUAUCGGUGUAUAUUAUAUAUGGGUGUCAUGUGGAAAAUUUGGCUGUUGGGCAAUCGUAAGAGGCAACGGACAUGCAUAUUUCAGAACUGGCGUGACCACAGAUGUUCCUGGAGGGGUUUCGUGGGUGGACACUGGUGGGACAUUUACACAACUGGACACCGGAGUGCGAGGGGAUGUGUACGCUGUGGACGGUGGCGGACAACUGUAUACACGUGAAGGUAUAAGUGAAGACCUUCCCUAUGGACGAAAAUGGUCAAAAUUUGGAAACUUUUUGCUCAGUCAUGUUAGCGUUGGUGCUAAAAGUGUAAUCGGAAUACACAACAAGUUAUUCUACACGAUGGACACGCCAUAGAGAGAAUCUCUGUGAAGAUAAAUUUUUGCACAAAAAAGAAGAUACUUUCGAAAACAGUAAGCUGCAUGCAGUAUAUUCAAUACUUAUUUCCAGCAUGCACCAUAAGGUAGCCCACGGGUAAAAAAAUCAUCUAUUGGCCACUUGUGUUCCAAAUUGAAUGAGCCAAAUUUUAAUCGAUGGGUAUAACUUGGGCUGCAUGCAUAUAAAUUUUGAGUUAUUUCUUCUUUUGAGCGACAGAUGUAAUCAAAGAUAUUCACUUUGAUGAACACACGAUAGUAUUGGAACCGAAUGUGAGCAAUUAGUAUUUAACGAACAAAAUCUAUUAUCUCACAAUUUGCACUGUAGCAAUGCCCAUUCUGAAAAAUGGAAGACUUUAGAGAAAGUGUUGAAAAGAGUCAGUAAUCGUUUCCUCAACAGGAACAUUAACGUUCCUCCUU